rnacentral:tRNA from 1 species
GCCCUCGUAGCUCAGAUCGGAGCAUCGGUUUUGUAAGUCGGAGGUCGGAGGUUAAACCCCUCCCGAGCGCA